AUUGAACGCUGGCGGCAGGCCUAACACAUGCAAGUCGAGCGGAUGAAGGGAGCUUGCUCCUGGAUUCAGCGGCGGACGGGUGAGUAAUGCCUAGGAAUCUGCCUGGUAGUGGGGGAUAACGUCCGGAAACGGGCGCUAAUACCGCAUACGUCCUGAGGGAGAAAGUGGGGGAUCUUCGGACCUCACGCUAUCAGAUGAGCCUAGGUCGGAUUAGCUAGUUGGUGGGGUAAAGGCCUACCAAGGCGACGAUCCGUAACAGGUCUGAGAGGAUGAUCAGUCACACUGGAACUGAGACACGGUCCAGACUCCUACGGGAGGCAGCAGUGGGGAAUAUUGGACAAAGGGCGAAAGCCUGAUCCAGCCAUGCCGCGUGUGUGAAGAAGGUCUUCGGAUUGUAAAGCACUUUAAGUUGGGAGGAAGGGCAGUAAGUUAAUACCUUGCUGUUUUGACGUUACCAACAGAAUAAGCACCGGCUAACUUCGUG
rnacentral:rRNA from 1 species